GACGAACGCUGGCGGCGUGCCUAAUACAUGCAAGUAGAACGCUGAAGGAGGAGCUUGCUUCUCUGGAUGAGUUGCGAACGGGUGAGUAACGCGUAGGUAACCUGCCUGGUAGCGGGGGAUAACUAUUGGAAACGAUAGCUAAUACCGCAUAAGAGUAGAUGUUGCAUGACAUUUGCUUAAAAGGUGCAAUUGCAUCACUACCAGAUGGACCUGCGUUGUAUUAGCUAGUUGGUGGGGUAACGGCUCACCAAGGCGACGAUACAUAGCCGACCUGAGAGGGUGAUCGGCCACACUGGGACUGAGACACGGCCCAGACUCCUACGGGAGGCAGCAGUAGGGAAUCUUCGGCAAUGGACGGAAGUCUGACCGAGCAACGCCGCGUGAGUGAAGAAGGUUUUCGGAUCGUAAAGCUCUGUUGUAAGAGAAGAGCGAGUGUGAGAGUGGAAAGUUCACACUGUGACGGUAUCUUACCAGAAAGGGACGGCUAACUACGUG
rnacentral:rRNA from 1 species